ensembl:misc_RNA 7SK 7SK RNA
GAUUGAUGAACUGACAUCUAUCACCUUAUCAGUCACCAGAUUCUAUUCAUUCUACUCAUCUGAUUGGUGGGGUGGGUAUCUCUUUCUUUUCUAUACCAUGUGUGUCUUAUCUGAAACAGUUCACUCGAUCAAAAAGGAUUUCCUUUCUUUAUGGAAGAAGACCUCCUUUACAGAUGGGUAUAUGAGUUAAGACUUUCUCCUACUAGAAUUCCCAAACAAGAUUUAGCAGGUCCACAGUUGUUAGACCUAUGGCAAGUGAAUUAAAACAAUUCCUUAUUAAGUCACUAAACCUGAAUGUAGACUGUCAUGCACAGAUUCUAGUCAUAA